GACUGGUCCAAGUAUAGUGGUGGUUACUAUUAGUUGAUCACAACCAGUUACAGAUUUCUUUGUUUAUUCUUCACUCCCACCGCUUCACUUGAUUAGCCAUAA
ensembl:misc_RNA Y_RNA Y RNA